rnacentral:rRNA from 1 species
UUACAAGCCUCCUAGGAAGCGGUUACAACUCUGAACACUAGUCAAUGGACAUCGGUUACAAGCCUCCUAGGAGACGGUUACAACUCUGAACGCUAGUCAAUGGACUAACACGGAUGUGUUAGUCUAAGUCUGUAAAUUGUCUUCUCUUGCAAAAUCUCUGCUGCCAACUUUUAGUCCGCCGUGUUGAAAACCUAUGGCAACUAGUAAUAGUUUAGACUACAGAUAGAGUUGUGUUUGGG